UUAUUAUUGGUAGUUUUCAUGUGCUGACCCCAGGAAUACAUAGAUAGAUUAACCCAGAGGAACUCUAGGGAAACUUACGUUAAGUCUUAUGUCGCUUUCCUCCAGACAUCAUGGGAACAGACAUGUCUUGGAGAGAUGCACACUGGGAUCUGUCCAGGAUCAGAAACUCCUGGAGCCAGAGGAGGUAGCCAGCCAGAGGUACUGCUCAAGGACUUCUCUCCAAAGCUUCGAGUCAUGAAAGUGCUCAGCCCAAGGGCAGGUGGCAUCUCCUCAACCAUGAGGGAACAGAGGCUCAGCCAGCACGUUGAGGCACCAGAAUUCAAAAGCCCAGUAUCCUCCCAGGACUCCAUCAAAGCAGAUGUGCAGAGGGCAGGAAGGGCCUGAGCAGAACCAGCGCCCCUGGGGGGGGGGCCCACGGAACCUUCAGGAAAAUAAGACAGGCACAGGAAAGAGAUGUUGAGGGUCUGAAGACAAAGCCACAAUGAAAGCCACCAUUCUGGGUUUGGGAAUGUAAAGAACUUCAAACCAGAUAAAUGAAGACUGCAGAAGAAAGAGGAAGAAAUGGAAGUUGCUCUCUGACAGGACAACAUGAAUUUGGCAAGGGGUGGAUUAGGCCGAGUGCUAUCCACGGUGAUGAAACGCAGCAGCCGGUGGUCAUGAAAUAUUUAUGAAUGGGGAGAGGAUGCUGCAUUCUGCAGUGCAGCACAGGGGAAAGCGAAGUUUCCAGAAUACUGUAAUAGCAAAACCCUCUAUUCAUUAUCGGAAGCAAGCUGUAAUGCCAGUUCCUAUGGCAACGGGGUCCCCAAUGGAUUUUGUGCUUUUUUUUUUUUUUUUUUUUUUUAAAGCUACUCCCAUUUACUAUGGUACAUUGCAUUUGUUUUCUACUGGAGGUUUUGUGCUUGUCCUCUGCAAAUGAAUUCAUACUGUCCUCACAGUGGCUGGUGUGGAGACCGACAGGCUGGGGCCUGGGGAAAGUUAAACAUUAUGCAACUUUGAGCUAAAUGUUUUGUAAGGACAUUGAUGACUGCUACCAGCACUUUCACUUCUGAGGGGAAAAGAAGGGGAGGGCAGGAAAGAGGUGGGGAAGGGAAUAACUAAGGUGCAUGGCUAAUUAGAGGGCAUCUAUCCCAGCCCCUACAGGCAUGAUCUUUGCAACCCAGGCUUGCACCAGGGAAGAGUCCUUGAACCCAGCCGGGCUCUCCAACAACGUGCCUGCUACAGCUGCAGUGGAAGCUGAUACUUGCACAGAAAGCUCAGACACAGAGUCCUCUGGGGUAGGGGUGUUGGAGAGAACAGUGGCUUGGUUCCCAGGGGAGCAGGCUGCCCCUCCCAGAGAAGCGCUGCAGGCCUCCUCCACCUGUAGGCCAAUUCCUCUGCACCACGCCCCCAUUACUUAUCACUUCCCCCUCAGUGUGAAGUGGGAGUUUAAUUCGGUGGUCCUUUGAAUGCGGGUCUUCCAGGGGAGAUGUUUCUGUGAUUGCCUGGCCAUGGACUGCUGUUCACAGAGACAGUCUGUCCCAGGCCACAGGAGCGCCUCAGAGCCUCUCUGGGGCGUGGGUGAAGCGGUCAACAGCGGCUUCCUCCAUCUUGCCCCGGACAGCUUGAUGACGGAAUAGUCCGCCACUCACUCAGAAAGAGGCUGCCUCCAGGGGGGCAAAAUUGUACGUGUCCCUCUCAGGGCUGCAGCUGUGACUUGGGAGGUGUCCUGUCUCUUUGGUGGCCUCAUGAGGGCUGUGUGGGUCCUGAUAAAUGGCAUAGGAUGGGGAGUCCCCUUAAUGGGGGCCAGUACAGGUCUCCUGUCCAUGGGGCUAUUCCAGGCUAAAAAUAGAUUCUACCGCUGCAGAAUGACUGUGCUGGCUCUACUGUGCUUUCUAAGUCACCAAAGGGACUCACAAGCAUGUGUGAGCAGAACUGGGAGGAUGCCAGAAGAGGGAUGAAAUAACAAUUGUGUAUGCAUAUCUUUCUUUUUGUGGAAUUCUACCUGGAGCCAUAGGAAUGCGACUUACCACUCAUGGGAAAGGCUUGCCCAGAGCCAAGGAGGAGCUGCGGGGACGUUUCUCCCAAGUCAUCCGUUCUCCGCAUUUAGACUUCAUCCUUAGGACGGACCUUCAGGCCCCCAGGCUGCCUACUGACCUCCCUGGCAUGGGUGGGAACCGGGAGCUCAUUGGUAAGCAGGAGGAUUCAGGACUAUCGACUGAACCCCACUCCUCUGUGGCACGCACCGUGCUGUGACUUUGGGGUCAUCAUCUCUCAUCCGCUCUGCACAGGAAGAUUAUCUCCCCCACUUUGUAAUGAGGAAAUGGAGGCUGCAGGAGGAAAGAUGCAACCUGGGCCAGAGGCCCCUGGAGGCUGUGCCUGACCCCAGACAGCUCAGACGAACCUGGGCAGCCAUUAGCAGCUGUGUGGGCUCCUUUGCACUGUGGGGCUGCUCCUGGGGUGAGAGAUGUCUUCGUUGUAUAUGGGGUUCGGGGGCUGAGCUGGCUCACUUGCAAAAGACACACUUGGCCCAGCCCUGGGCAGCAUCCAGCCUGCUUAGGUGGCUUUCUGUGGGCUUGGCCACAGACACUGAGACCUUUCUCUGUUUCACUUCCUUGUGUCAGCUUGGCUGUGUGUGAACCAAGGAAUCACAAGCACACACCUCUCUGAGCUCACACUUGUAUAAAGUUGGACUGAAGAGCUUGGUGAAUCAAAGUUCAAGAAGGGUGACUUGGCCAGACUUGGUGGCUCACUCCUGUAAU